UAGAGUAACUUGAAGUAGGACAACAUCUGAGUAUGUGGCAGGCAGAUUUGGCCAGGACGACUCCACUGGUUAUGUCAUCUUUACUCUUGAUGAGAGCUAUGGAGACACCAUCAGCCUCUCCAUGUUUGUCCGAACGCUUCAACCAUCAGGCUUACUUCUAGCUUUGGAAAACAGCACUUAUCAAUAUAUCCGUGUCUGGCUAGAGCGUGGCAGACUAGCAAUGCUGACUCCAAACUCUCCCAAAUUAGUAGUAAAAUUUGUUCUUAAUGAUGGAAAUGUCCACUUGAUAUCUUUGAAAAUCAAGCCAAAUAAAAUUGAACUGUAUCAGUCUUCACAAAACCUAGGAUUUAUUUCUGCUUCUACAUGGAAAAUCGAAAAGGGAGAUGUCAUCUACAUUGGUGGCCUACCUGACA
rnacentral:sRNA from 1 species